UACGUAGGGUGCAAGCGUUAAUCGGAAUUACUGGGCGUAAAGCGUGCGCAGGCGGUUGUGCAAGACAGAUGUGAAAUCCCCGGGCUCAACCUGGGAAUUGCAUCUGUGACUGCACGGCUAGAGUGUGUCAGAGGGGGGUAGAAUUCCACGUGUAGCAGUGAAAUGCGUAGAGAUGUGGAGGAAUACCGAUGGCGAAGGCAGCCCGCUGGGAUAACACUGACGCUCAUGCACGAAAGCGUGGGGAGCAAACAGG
rnacentral:rRNA from 1 species